rnacentral:rRNA from 1 species
GCUUACGGCCAUACCAGCCUGGGUACGCCCGAUCUCGUCUGAUCUCGGAAGCUAAGCAGGGUCGGGCCUGGUUAGUACUUGGAUGGGAGACCGCCUUGGAAUACCAGGUGCUGUAAGCA